GCAAAGCAUUUGCAGUAUUUUUAGAAUUACUGGCCUCUCAGUUGGCCGUGCCAUUAGCAGCUAAAACUCAGAAAUUACACGGAGGACUUUUUUGAUUCAUUUUCACCUUGUAUUCAGGAAUCAUAACGAUGUUGUAUCGCUUUACAAGGACAUGGAUUCACUGAAAUUAGUUCAAUGGAAAUACUACAGCAAGAGCAUGGAUGUUAUGACUAGAACGUUGCCCGUGCUAUAUUUAGAAUUCGUGAAACAUAAGAAACCCUCCUCCCAGAAAUUGGAUGAAUCUAGUACUAGUGAAAUUAACAAAAACUCCUAAAGAAACCAAAAGAGUCCUCACAUAAUGUGCGAAGCUUACACUUCCAGGCCGCUCGGGGUAUUUGACAUUUGCCACUCUUCCUCCAGCCUUUGUCAGAUAGCAAAAAUUGUUCAACUAUUCAAUACGUUUUACAUAUGUACGA